rfam:Hordeum vulgare subsp. vulgare, WGS project CAJW01000000 data, contig: morex_contig_635303
GAGAGCACAGUACGAUGAAAGUUGUAAGCUGUGUUCGGGGGGGAGUUAUUGUCUAUCGUUGGCCUCUAUGGUAGAACCCGUCGGGGAGGCCUGAGAGGCGGUGGGUU